rnacentral:rRNA from 1 species
AUUGGACAUGGAGGCAACUCUGAUCCAGCCAUGCCGCGUGCAGGAAGACGGCCCUAUGGGUUGUAAACUGCUUUUAUACAGGAAGAAUGUUACCUACGCGUAGGUAUUUGACGGUACUGUAAGAAUAAGGAUCGGCUAACUCCGUGCCAGCAGCCGCGGUAAUACGGAGGAUCCAAGCGUUAUCCGGAAUCAUUGGGUUUAAAGGGUCCGCAGGCGGUUCAUUAAGUCAGAGGUGAAAUCCUACCGCUCAACGGUAGCAUUGCCUUUGAUACUGAUGGACUUGAGUUAUAGUGAAGUAGUUAGAAUGUGUAGUGUAGCGGUGAAAUGCAUAGAUAUUACACAGAAUACCGAUUGCGAAAGCAGAUUACUAACUGUAUACUGACGCUGAGGGACGAAAGCGUGGGUAGCGAACAGGAUUAGAUACCCUGGUAGUCCACGCCGUAAACGAUGGAUACUAGCUGUUCGGCCAACAAUGGUUGGUUGAGUGGCUAAGCGAAAGUGAUAAGUAUCCCACCUGGGGAGUACGCUCGCAAGAGUGAAACUCAAAGGAAUUGACGGGGGCCCGCACAAGCGGUGGAGCAUGUGGUUUAAUUCGAUGAUACGCGAGGAACCUUACCAGGGCUUAAAUGUAGGUUGCAUAAACCAGAGAUGGUUUUUUCUUCGGACCACCUACAAGGUGCUGCAUGGUUGUCGUCAGCUCGUGCCGUGAGGUGUCAGGUUAAGUCCUAUAACGAGCGCAACCCCUGUUGUUAGUUGCCAGCAAGUAAAGUUGGGUACUCUAACGAGACUGCCGGUGCAAACCGCGAGGAAGGUGGGGAUGACGUCAAAUCAUCACGGCCCUUACGUCCUGGGCUACACACGUGCUACAAUGGCCGGUACAGCGAGCAGCCACUACGCGAGUAGGAGCGAAUCUAUAAAACCGGUCUCAGUUCGGAUCGCAGUCUGCAACUCGACUGCGUGAAGCUGGAAUCGCUAGUAAUCGGAUAUCAGCCAUGAUCCGGUGAAUACGUUCCCGGGCCUUGUACACACCGCCCGUCAAGCCAUGGAAGCUGGGGGUACCUGAAGUCGGUGACCGCAAGGAGCUGCCUAGGGUAAAACUAGUAACUGGGGCUAAGUCGUAACAAGGUAGCCGUACCGGAAGGUGCGGCUGGAACACCUCCUUUCU